CGGAUUGUAGUCUGNAACCCGACUACAUGAAGCCGGAAUCGCUAGUAAUCGCGGAUCAGAAUGCCGCGGUGAAUACGUUCCCGGGUCUUGUACACACCGCCCGUCACACCAUGGGAGUCGGGAAUGCCCGAAGUCAGUGACCCAACCUUAGGGAGGGAGCUGCCGAAGGCAGGCCUGGUGACUGGGGUGAAGUCGUAACAAGGUACC
rnacentral:rRNA from 1 species